CCUACGGGUGGCUGCAGUGGGGAAUAUUGGACAAUGGGGGGAACCCUGAUCCAGCCAUGCCGCGUGUGAGAAGAAGGCCCUCGGGUUGUAAAGCACUUUCAGUGAGGAAGAACGCCUGGUGGUUAAUACCCAUCAGGAAAGACAUCACUCACAGAAGAAGCACCGGCUAACUCCGUGCCAGCAGCCGCGGUAAUACGGAGGGUGCGAGCGUUAAUCGGAAUUACUGGGCGUAAAGCGCGCGUAGGUGGCUUGAUAAGCCGGUUGUGAAAGCCCCGGGCUCAACCUGGGAACGGCAUCCGGAACUGUCAAGCUAGAGUGCAGGAGAGGAAGGUAGAAUUCCCGGUGUAGCGGUGAAAUGCGUAGAGAUCGGGAGGAAUACCAGUGGCGAAGGCGGCCUUCUGGACUGACACUGACACUGAGGUGCGAAAGCGUGGGUAGCAAACAGGAUUAGAUACCCUAGUAGUC
rnacentral:rRNA from 1 species